AUUGAACGCUGGCGGCAGGCCUAACACAUGCAAGUCGAACGCGUGGCGGACGGGUGAGUAAUGUCUGGGAACCUGCCCGAUGGAGGGGGGUAACUACUGGAAACGGUAGCUAAUACCGCAUACCAUCGGAUGUGCCCAGAUGGGAGUAGCUAGUAGGUGGGGUAACGGCUCACCUAGGCGACGAUCCCUAGCUGGUCUGAGAGGAUGACCAGCCACACUGGAACUGAGACACGGUCCAGACUCCUACGGGAGGCAGCAGUGGGAAAUAUUGCACAAUGGGCGCAAGCCUGAUGCAGCCAUGCCGCGUGUAUGAAGAAGGCCGUCGGGUUGUAAAGUACUUUCAGCGAGGAGGCGUUACUCGCAGAAGAAGCACCGGCUAACUCCGUGCCAGCCGCCGCGGUAAUAC
rnacentral:rRNA from 1 species